rnacentral:lncRNA from 1 species
UAUCCGGUUUGCUUUGCAGUGUCAGAGGAGCGGGCCUCCCCUGAAGCGCUGCUGAGCAUGGAAGCCUGCUUGGCAAGUGGAGAUAGUGGCCGUGUUACAGCAGGGGGUUCACAGAGUCAGCAGUCUGGAGAGAACAAAGCAACAUGCCUUGGGUUCUGUGACCUGCCUGGCUACAGCAGAUGUUUGUGCAGUCCCUGCUCAACCGUAAACUAAAAGAAGUGGGAGAACCAGCACAAAGGAUAUUUCUCAUUGUUUACUAAGCUUGACAGUCGUAGCUUCAGCUGCAAUUGACCUCUUCAUUACUGUUGAUAUGUCCAACAAGCCAUCUCACACCACACAUCAUGUUUUCACGCAGUGAAAAAUGCAUCAUGGAGCAAAGAGGAAACUGAAAACAUGCUGAUAUACAAGAAUAUUUAGUCAUUUUUUAAGAAAUUCAAACAAUAAAUACCAUUUUGUGGCUCUUUAAUGUGUCAUGACAGACCUCAGUUCAAGCAGCACGUGAACUGAUCAUCUCUUCCUCUUUACUAGUUAGGCCUAUAGCAUGAAAUAAACAGGAAUAAACACCAGAAGUGUGCAGAAAGAUGUCAAUACACACUAUUUUUCAAGUUCAGGUCCGCCGACAUUAAUCUACUCUCCUGUCUGGUUUGUUUGUUAGACAAAAAUGGCAGAUUCUGCGUUAUGAUAGGGCAGAUUGCCUGUCAGUCAAACUCCCUGCGAAGGGUCAUUUGUAUGCCAGAGAUCUGUCUCGGUUUUAC